rnacentral:rRNA from 1 species
CUCCUACGGGGGGCAGCAGUGGGGAAUAUUGCACAAUGGGGGAAACCCUGAUGCAGCGACGCCGCGUGAAGGAAGAAGUAUCUCGGUAUGUAAACUUCUAUCAGCAGGGAAGAAAACAGACGGUACCUGACUAAGAAGCCCCGGCUAACUACGUGCCAGCAGCCGCGGUAAUACGUAGGGGCAAGCGUUAUCCGGAUUUACUGGGUGUAAAGGGGGCGCAGACGGCCAUGGCAAGCCCGGUGUGAAAGGCAGGGGCAUAACCCCGGGACUGCAUUGGAAACUGUUGAACUGGAGUACAGGAGAGG